CUGUGAAUCCAUGUUUGAAGAAUAUAUAAUCCCGACACUAUUUUAUCCUUUGUGCAAAUACGCCUCGCACCAUACAAAUCGCGUCGUAGCUGCAAGUGUGUCGUGUGCGCGUGAUGUGCUCGGUGUUUCAGAAGUAGUAAUGCAGUAAUUUGUCUAGACUGCAGUACAGCAGAUCGAUCUAUAUCAUCAUUAUCAAGCGGGCAAGCGGUCUCGGAUACAUCGUACCGGACACGUACGCAACAAACUAGAAUAAAAGUAAAAAAAAAAACAAAAUGAAACACACAGAAAACCGGAGGUCUUCUGCCUCGAAAGUGAAGGUUCCGCUGAAGGAAGAAUCCACGUCAUACCGGGUGCACAUUGCGCUGGGUCUAUUUCUUGUGAUAAUGUUCCUGUCUUUCCCGACGCUUUGUGGUGCUCACGGGCAGCACGGCCACGAUCAUGAUCAUCUCCAUGAGAACGAUCAUCUUCAUCACCAUCACGAAAGUCCCAGUUUUAAGUAUUCCCAACAAGCGAACGAGAUGUACGAAGAAGAACCGGUAGCAGUUCCACAUCACCAUCAUCAUCAUGGUGGAGAUGAGGACCAUGAUCAUCACCACCAUCAUCACCAUCAUGAUGGCGGUCAUCAUCAUCAUCAUCAUCAUCAUCACCAGGAAAAGCCAACCAGCGAUAGUAAAGCUCCUAGAGAUACCUUCUACAUCUGGGUGCAUUCCCUCGGCUCAACGUUGCUGAUUAGUGCCGCGCCGUUUUUCAUUCUGUUUGCCAUACCGCUCGAUAAUACGGAAGAGAUGCAGCCACGGUUGAAAACGUUGCUUGCUUUCGCUUCCGGUGGAUUGCUGGGGGAUGCUUUUUUGCAUUUGAUUCCUCACGCCAUUCAGCCUCAUUCCCACGCGGAUGGUCACACGCACGGUCACAGCCAUGGGCAUUCUCAUAAUCACGGAGAGGAAGGCGAUCACGAAAGCCACGGGCACGACAUGCGUGUGGGGCUGUGGGUUUUGGCGGGCAUCAUAGUGUUCCUGGCAGUGGAAAAGUUCGUUCGUUUGGUUAAGAAAGACACUGGCCACGGACAUGGCCAUGGUCAUAGUCACGGUGGUUCGAAACCGGUCGCACCAGAACAAAGUAAAACCACUUCCAAGAGCUCACCACCACCUUCUCCAUCCGAGAACAAGAAGGACAAGAAGGAAAAGAAACAAACGGAAGGAACGAAAUCGAAAAAGGAGGAAGCGAAGGCAAAGGGCAAAGCUGUCCGUAAAGAACCGAAAAAAGAAGCGGACAUUAAGAUUGCCGGGUAUCUUAAUCUGGCGGCAGAUUUCACGCACAACUUCACCGACGGACUGGCGAUCGGUGCGUCCUAUUUGGCGGGUAACAGUAUCGGUUUGAUCACGACGAUUACCAUUCUGUUGCAUGAAGUACCGCACGAAAUCGGUGACUUUGCGAUCCUCAUCAAGUCGGGUUGCUCCAAGAAGAAAGCCAUGCUCUUGCAGCUAACCACGGCCGUGGGUGCGCUGGCUGGUACCGUUCUUGCUCUGCUGGGCAGUGGGAGUGAUGCGGCCGAAUCGUGGGUGCUACCGUUUACGGCCGGUGGCUUUAUUUACAUUGCCACCGUGUCGGUGAUACCGGAGCUGCUGGAAGAGUCCACCAAGCUGUGGCAAUCGCUGAAGGAAAUUACGGCCAUGCUGGCCGGCGUCGGCAUGAUGGUAAUUAUUGCAAAGUUUGAAUAGAGGGAUUAGAUAGAGAAGUAUACCUUGGAUGAUGGAUUGGGUCGGAGUGUCCAGUGGCUGCCGUCUUUCUUCCUGUUGUACCUUCGUCAACUGUACACUUCUAUUACGGAUCAUGUCUGAAGGUAAUAGAACACACAAUAGAACAAAGAUGAUUGUGCGCUCUGUUCAAAGUACAGUGUGAAACCAUUUUAAGUUUUUGUGAAUGCAGGAAAAAAAUGAAGCUGAGCUUUUGUGAUUGUUUUUCUUUAUUUGCACUUUUGCAGCUUCCUUACAAAAGUACACAUUUAAUGUUAUCGCGUAAAGAUUGUUGAAGAUUUGUAAUAUUUGAAUUUGUAUAAUAAAAUAAUUUUAACAUGGAUG